rnacentral:rRNA from 1 species
UGACUNGAGUGCAGAAGGGGAGAGUGGAAUUCCAUGUGUAGCGGUGAAAUGCGUAGAUAUAUGGAGGAACACCAGUGGCGAAAGCGGCUCUCUGGUCUGUCACUGACGCUGAGGCUCGAAAGCGUGGGUAGCGAACAGGAUUAGAUACCCUGGUAGUCCACGCCGUAAACGAUGAGUGCUAGGUGUUAGGCCCUUUCCGGGGCUUAGUGCCGGAGCUAACGCAAUAAGCACUCCGCCUGGGGAGUACGACCGCAAGGUUGAAACUCAAAGGAAUUGACGGGGGCCCGCACAAGCGGUGGAGCAUGUGGUUUAAUUCGAAGCAACGCGAAGAACCUUACCAGGUCUUGACAUCCNGAUGNUAUUNUUAGAGAUAGGAAGUUANUUCGNUNCNUNGGAGACGGGUGGUGCAUGGUUGUCGUCAGCUCGUGUCGUGAGAUGUUGGGUUAAGUCCCGCAACGAGCGCAACCCUUAUUGUUAGUUGCCAUCAUUAAGUUGGGCACUCUAGCGAGACUGCCGGUAAUAAACCGGAGGAAGGUGGGGAUGACGUCAAAUCAUCAUGCCCCUUAUGACCUGGGCUACACACGUGCUACAAUGGUCGGUACAACGAGUUGCGAGCCGGUGACGGCAAGCUAAUCUCUGAAAGCCGAUCUCAGUUCGGAUUGGAGGCUGCAACUCGCCUCCAUGAAGUCGGAAUCGCUAGUAAUCGCGGAUCAGCACGCCGCGGUGAAUACGUUCCCGGGCCUUGUACACACCGCCCGUCACACCACGAGAGUUUGUAACACCCGAAGUCGGUGAGGUAACCUUUUAGGGNCCAGCCGCCU